CACGAACGCUGGCGGCGUGCCUAAUACAUGCAAGUCGAGCGCAGGAAAUCGACGGAACCCUUCGGGGGGAAGUCGAUGGAAUGAGCGGCGGACGGGUGAGUAACACGUAAAGAACCUGCCCUCAGGUCUGGGAUAACCACGAGAAAUCGGGGCUAAUACCGGAUGGGUCAUCGGACCGCAUGGUCCGAGGAUGAAAGGCGCUUCGGCGUCGCCUGGGGAUGGCUUUGCGGUGCAUUAGCUAGUUGGUGGGGUAAUGGCCCACCAAGGCGACGAUGCAUAGCCGACCUGAGAGGGUGAUCGGCCACACUGGGACUGAGACACGGACCAGACUCCUACGGGAGGCAGCAGUAGGGAAUCUUCCACAAUGGACGAAAGUCUGAUGGAGCAACGCCGCGUGAACGAUGAAGGCCUUCGGGUCGUAAAGUUCUGUUGUAAGGGAAGAACAAGUGCCGCAGGCAAUGGCGGCACCUUGACGGUACCUUGCGAGAAAGCCACGGCUAACUACGUGCCAGCCGCCGCAGUAAUAC
rnacentral:rRNA from 1 species